UUUCCGUAGGUGAACCUGCGGAAGGAUCAUUAUUAAAUAACCGAUGUGCGAGGUCUUUCCCUGACCCUACACCUCGUGCGCACCGGAAUGCCCUCACACACAUGCAUCUCACCCCUAUGUUCACCACCGCUUGUUUCCUCCUUUGGUUUGUUCGGAGGUGGGCUUACGAAUUCACAAAAACAUUUUAUGCAGCGUAGAAUUUAUUUUUAGCUUUUGCGAACAGGCAAGCAAUUCAACUUUGAACAACGGAUCUCUUGGCUCUCGAAUCGAUCAAGAACA
rnacentral:misc_RNA from 1 species